AAGUCGUAACAAGGUCUCCGUUGGUGAACCAGCGGAGGGAUCAUUACUGAGUACUACACUCUCUACCCUUUGUGAACUAUUAUACCUGUUGCUUCGCGGCGCCCGCAAGGGUGCCCGCCGGUCUCAUCAGAAUCUCUGUUUUCGAACCCGACGAUACUUCUGAGUGUUCUUAGCGAACUGUCAAAACUUUUAACAACGGAUCUCUUGGCUCCAGCAUCGAUGAAGAACGCAGCGAAACGCGAUAUGUAAUGUGAAUUGCAGAAUUCAGUGAAUCAUCGAAUCUUUGAACGCACAUGGCGCCUUCCAGUAUCCUGGGAGGCAUGCCUGUCCGAGCGUCGUUUCAACCCUCGAGCCCCUGUGGCCCGGCGUUGGGGAUCUGCCACGGCAGGCCCCUAAAACCAGUGGCGGACCCGAAGGGCCCUCUCCUUUGCGCAGUAGCAUUCGCCUCGCAUCGGGAGUCCUCGGCGUCCUGCCUCUAAACCCCCCACAAGCCCGCUUCGGCGGCACCAAGGUUGACCUCGGAUCAGGUAGGAAUACCCGCUGAACUUAA
rnacentral:rRNA from 1 species